rnacentral:rRNA from 1 species
AUUGAACGCUGGCGGCAGGCUUAACACAUGCAAGUCGAACGGUAACAGAGAAUAGCUUGCUAUUUUGCUGACGAGUGGCGGACGGGUGAGUAAUGCUUGGGAAUUUGCCUGAUGGUGGGGGACAACAGUUGGAAACGACUGCUAAUACCGCAUAAUGUCUACGGACCAAAGCAGGGGACCUUCGGGCCUUGCGCUAUCAGAUGAGCCCAAGUGGGAUUAGCUAGUUGGUAAGGUAAUGGCUUACCAAGGCGACGAUCCCUAGCUGGUCUUAGAGGAUGACCAGCCACACUGGAACUGAGACACGGUCCAG